ensembl:snRNA U2 U2 spliceosomal RNA
AUUGCUUCUCGGCCUUUUGGCUAAGAUCAAGUGUAGUAUCUGUUCUUAUCAGUUUAAUAAAAAGUGAAGAAACCCUAUGAGAACCAUCAGACUCAAUUAAGAGAGUCAAUCUAAGAAUAAAGGGUGACCAUUGUUAAUAAUACUGUAUUGCAUGUUUGAAAGAUGCUAAGAGAGUAAAUCUGC